rnacentral:rRNA from 1 species
GAUGAACGCCGGCGGCGUGCCUAAUACAUGCAAGUCGAGCGAUCGGACUAGAAGUUUGCUUCUCUGACGUUAGCGGCGGACGGGUGAGUAACACGUGGAUAACCUACCUAUAAGCCUGGUAUAACUUCGGGAAACCGUAUCUAAUACCGUAUAAUAUUUUUAACGGUAUGGUUCAAGAAUGUAAGACGGUCUUGCUGUCACUUAUAGGUGUAUCCGCGCUGCAUUAGCUAGUUGGUAAGGUAACGGCUUACCAAGGCAACGAUGCAUAGCCGACCUGAGAGGGGGAUCGGCCACACUGGAACUGAGACACGGUCCAGACUCCUACGGGAGGCAGCAGUAGGGAAUCUUCCGCAAUGGGCGAAAGCCUGACGGAGCAACGCCGCGUGAGUGAUGAAGGUCUUCGGAUCGUAAAACUCUGUUAUUAGGGAAGAACAUAUGUGUAAGUAACUGUGCACAUCUUGACGGUACCUAAUCAGAAAGCCACGGCUAACUACGUG